rnacentral:rRNA from 1 species
GAUUGACCUCGGAUCAGGUAGGGAUACCCGCUGAACUUAAGCAUAUCAAUAAGCGGAGGAAAAGAAACCAACAGGGAUUGCCUCAGUAACGGCGAGUGAAGCGGCAACAGCUCAAAUUUGAAAUCUGAUCCCUUCGGGGUCCGAGUUGUAAUUUGUAGAGGGUGCUUCGGGCUUGGCCUAGGUCUAAGUUCCUUGGAACAGGGCGUCAUAGAGGGUGAGAAUCCCGUAUGAGACCGGCGAUCCAGCCCAUGUGAAGCCCCUUCGACGAGUCGAGUUGUUUGGGAAUGCAGCUCAAAAUGGGUGGUAAAUUUCAUCUAAAGCUAAAUACGGGCCAGAGACCGAUAGCGAACAAGUAGAGUGAUCGAAAGAUGAAAAGCACUUUGGAAAGAGAGUUAAACAGUACGUGAAAUUGUUGAAAGGGAAGCGCUUGCAAUCAGACCUGCCCGUGGGUGAUCUGUCGGGGCUCGUUCCCGGCAACCUUCACCCAUGAUCAGGCCAGCAUCGGUUUGGGCGGUGAGAUAAAAGCCCCUGGAAUGUAGCUUCUCUCGGGGAGUCUUAUAGCCUGAGGUGUCAUGUUGCCAGCCUGGACCGAGGACCGCGCUUCGGCUAGGAUGCUGGCGUAAUGAUUCUAAGCGACCCGUCUUGAAACACGGACCAAGGAGUCUAACAUCUAUGCGAGUGUUUGGGUGUUAAACCCGGGCGCGGAAUGAAAGUGAACGGAGGUGGGAGCCCGUCAAACGGCGCACCAUCGACCGAUCCAGAUGUUUUCGGAUGGAUUUGAGUACGAGCAUAGCUGUUGGGACCCGAAAGAUGGUGAACUUUGCUUGUAUAGGGUGAAGCCAGAGGAAACUCUGGUGGAGGCUCGCAGCGGUUCUGACGUGCAAAUCGAUCGUCGAAUAUGAGCAAAGGUCAGUUGGAAAGGACCUACGUUUAGGGGCUACGCUAACUAAAUUUUUAACAGGGGCGAAAGACCAAUCGAACUAUCUAGUAGCUGGUUCCUGU